UGCGUCCAAUAGAGAGUGUUAUUGUCUCACCUAGUGUUGGUUUGAGUUUUUUAUUCAUACAGGUGUGGAUCUACUUACUAGAGUUUGAACAUGACAGAUACCCUGUGACCGUCCAGUCAGGAUCGCUCAUUCAGGAGUUGCUUAAGGAGAUUUUUCUUUUUAUGUUUUGAGUCUGUUUUUCUUUUUAUGUCGUCUUUUACCUUCUAGUUUUGUACAAUAAUGUCGAGUCGUUUGGUAUUGUAUUUCCUAUUUUGUAUUGAAAAAAAGAUGUGUAAUAAAUCAAAAAUCCAAAAAAGAGAUUUUGCGUUUUUAUAUUUCUGUUAGAUGUUUUCUUUAGAAUACUAACUCUAGAAGUUCAAAAAUAAAAUUUUUUGUGGUUUUUCUUAGGAAAUUGAUAUCUAGAACUCAAAAUACAAAAUUGUUUUUAUAUUUCUUUUAAUAUAUUAGGAUUAAAAAUUCAAAAAAAAGAGAAUCUUAUUUUAGUACCUAUUUAAAAGUUUUCUUUAAGAUUUUAAUUCCAAAAAGAUUUUUCUUUUGAGGUUUUCCUAUGGGAAAUAUAUUAAAGAAAAAAAAAA
rnacentral:lncRNA from 1 species